rnacentral:lncRNA from 1 species
AAUGGCCUCCACGAACCGCUGCACCUCUUUUCCCUAUAUCUUAUAUGACACAAAUAUAUGUGUGUGUUUGUGUGCGCCCUGCUUUCUUGAUGCCUCUGUCCUUCAUCCCACAUCUGAGGGGGUUGAUGGACCACCGGAUACCUGACAAGUGUAAAGAAGGUUCAUAAUGGAAGCUUGCCAUUGGAGGCCGUCAUAUCAGGACACACUUACAGGUGUUCAGCUCCGACUGCCAACACACGAUGAACUGAAAGUAUUAGAAACUGUUGCACUGACAUCCUGUUUUUGUCUAUGUACACCUAAAGCUUUUUCAGUCACCCUGAGCCUUCCACAACGAUUUAAGCCUUUCAGUUCAACGUGAGAUCAGACAUUUCUCUUCAAGUUCUUGGACGUUCCCGUUUGUUGCAUCUCUUGGACUGAAAUCUUGUGCUGCUGGGUGCCUAGUGGUUAAGCUGACAGAGAAUGAAAGCUAAAGGACACUGUUUCCUCUCAGACAUAAGACAGACUUUGAUUAGCGAGGUUAGAUGUUAGACUGAUGCUUUAAAUGAUGUUGUAUUUUAAAUGCAUGCCUCUAAAAUGCAAAAAUUAUUAUUAAAUGACAUACAUGGAUAAAUGCACUAGCCCAGACCUCUUGAGAGGUUUAGUCUUAUCAAACAUAAAAGGACAGAAUUGUUGGGCAUAAAUCUAUUUAUUGGUUUUCUGCUCACAGACAGACACAUUGUGUUAGUAUUGGAUAGAGAUAUGCAGACAUUUCAAAUAAUUUUUUUGCAGCCAAAGAUAUAAUUUUUUUAUCUAUCUAUCUAUCUAUCUAUCUAUCUAUCUAUCUAUCUAUCUAUCUAUCUAUCUAUCUAUCGAUCGUUCUAUCGUUCUAUCUAUCGUUCUAUCAUUCUAUCGUCCUAUUUUUUUCUUUCUUUCAGUCUAUGCAUAAUUUUAUACCUACAUACACUUGUGCUUAGACAGAUAAUCAUACUCCAUAGCAUGAGGGAUAUUAUUUUAAGCACGCAAAUACAAAUAUCAGCCAUCUGGAAGAUUACCACAUUGUUUCUUGCACAUGUUCACACUGUCCUAUAAGAUGCAGUUUUGGAUACAUAUGAGCAGGAAUAUUGAUGUACAGUCACAGAUGUACAGAAAUGGUACUAGUACAACAAUUCAGCCAAGGAUGUUUUCACUCUUGAGGUAAAUUGUGUAAGCAUAUCUACUUAACAGUAAAGUUAUUUGAUAGAUGUUUAAUACAUGCUCUUUAAAAGCAGUGUCUGAAUCAUAUUGUACAUAAAAAGUGCACAUUUAGGACAAAAGAUGACAACUUUUUUAAUAAGAACUGAUUCAUACUUAGAAACUAUUGUGAAUUGUUUCAAUGUUUCUUUUUGGAGAGGAGAGAAUCUGCAAUACCUGUAAUGUUUUGUGAACGGUUGAAAAACUUUUGUACAUAAUAUCUUAUUUUUGUAAGCUAACAAGCUGUCACCAGUAUCCCAUGUUAUUUACUGUGCAUUGUGCAUGGCUACUGUGCUCAAUGUAAAAUCCACAAACUGUUUUCGAAGUUAUAAAGAAGUUAUUCUUUCUCAGUGUAGGACUACAGAAACACCAAAUAUAAAGGCUGGUUUCCAUUUUGUUGUACUGUUGUUUUCCUUCUUUUGUUUCUCCUGUAUUUUGUUGUUAUAACAUCUUCAGAGCAAUUAAGCAGAAUUAUUAAUAAUUUAUGGUGAAUGAUGAUGUAUAUCUGAGUGAAAUGGCUUCUCAACUGGAUUUUUGUCCAGCCCUUGUGUCAUCAGAGAAGAGAUGUCAUUGUGAGGAGGGGUUACUAUUAAAGGUUACAAGUACACUUGAAUUUUACUAAAUUACAAGUGCACAGAUAAAUCAUUUAUGUUAUUUAUUUAAUAAACACUGCAAUAUUCCAUAAAAAUAGGAUUUUUUCAUAAUGUUGCUCUGAC